rnacentral:rRNA from 1 species
AAUUUUGAAGGGCCGCAGUAUUCUGACUGUGCAAAGGUAGCAUAAUCAUUUGCCUUUUAAUUAAAGGCUCGUAUGAAUGGUUGAACGAAAUACAAACUGUCUCACUCUAAAAAGUUUAAAAAUUUAGCUUUCAAGUCAAAAGGCUUGAAUAAUAUUAGAGGACGAGAAGACCCUAUAGAACUUUAUAAUAUUUUUUGUGAAUUUACAUAGUAAAAUAUUUUUUAUUUAUAAAUAUUAUUAUUUUGUUGGGGUGACAGGAAAAUAAGCAAAACUUUUUUGAAUUUUGAACAUUGAUUUAUGAAUAUUUGAUCCAUUAUUAGUGAUUAUUAGAAUAAGUUACCUUAGGGAUAACAGCGUAAUUUUGUUGGAGAGUUCAAAUCGAUAACAAAGUUUGCGACCUCGAUGUUGAAUUAAAGAAAUUUUAGAG